rnacentral:rRNA from 1 species
ACGGGGUGCAGCAGGCGCGAAACCUCCACAAUUCACGAAAGUGAGAUGGGGUUACCUCGAGUGCCGUCUGAAGAAGGCGGCUUUUCCAUUGUGUAAUGAGCCGUGGGAAUAAGAGGGGGGCAAGACUGGUGUCAGCCGCCGCGGUAACACCAGCCCCUCGAGUGGUGGGGAUGAUUAUUUGGCCUAAAGCGUCCGUAGCCGGCUCUGUAAAUCUCCCGUUAAAUCCAGCGUCCUAAGCGUUGGGCUGCGAGAGACACUGCAGAACUAGAGGGUGGGAGAGGUCAGCGGUAUUCCUGGGGUAGGGGCGAAAUCCAUUGAUCCCAGGAGGACCACCAGUGGCGAAGGCUGCUGACUUGAACACGCCUGACGGUCAGGGACGAAAGCUGGGGUAGCGAAUCGGAUUAGAUACCCGAGUAGUCCCAGCCGUAAACGAUGCAGGCUAGGUGUUGGGUUGGCCACGUGCCAGCUCAGUGCCACAGGGAAGCCAUUAAGCCUGCCGCCUGGGGAGUACGGCCGCAAGGCUGAAACUUAAAGGAAUUGGCGGGGGAGCACCACCAGGCGUGAAGCCUGCGGUUUAAUUGGAGUCAACGCCGGGAAUCUUACCGGGAGCGACAGCAGAGUGAAGGCCAGGUUGAAGGUCUUGCUGGACGAGCUGAGAGGUGGUGCAUGGCCGUCGCCAGUUCGUGCCGUGAGGUGUCCUCU